GACAGAGGAGGCAAGCGUUGUUCGGCAUCAUUGGGCUUAAAGCGCGCGUAGGCGGCCUUGUAAGUGUCUUGUGAAAUCCCACGGCUCACCCGUGGAGCUGCAGGGCAAACUGCAAGACUUGAGGUCGGUAGAGGCGCCUGGAACUCUAGGUGGAGCGGUGAAAUGCGUAGAUAUCUAGGGGAACGCCGGAGGCGAAGGCGGGGCGCUGGGCCGAUUCUGACGCUGAUGCGCGAAAGCGUGGGGAGCAAACAGG
rnacentral:rRNA from 1 species